rnacentral:rRNA from 1 species
GAUCCUGGCUCAGGAUGAACGCUGGCGGCGUGCUUAACACAUGCAAGUCGAGCGAAGCACUUAAGUUUGAUUCUUCGGAUGAAGACUUUUGUGACUGAGCGGCGACGGGGUGAAGGUAACCGCGUGGGUAACCUGCCUCAUACAGGGGGAUAACAGUUAGAAUGGCUGCUAAUACCGCAUAAGACCACAGUACUGCAUGGUACAGUGGUAAAACUCCGGUGGUAUGAGAUGGACCCGCG